AGCCUACGGGAGGCAGCAGUGAGGAAUAUUGGUCAAUGGUCGGGAGACUGAACCAGCAACGCCGCGUGAAGGAAGAAGGCCCUCGGGUUGUAAACUUCUUUUGUCAGGGACGAAGCAAGUGACGGUACCUGACGAAUAAGCCACGGCUAACUACGUGCCAGCAGCCGCGGUAAUACGUAGGUGGCAAGCGUUAUCCGGAUUUACUGGGUGUAAAGGGCGUGUAGGCGGGGGAGCAAGUCAGAUGUGAAAUUUCACGGCUCAACCCUGGAACUGCAUUUGAAACUGUUUUUCUUGAG
rnacentral:rRNA from 1 species